GUUAGGAUAACAUCAAAAUGGAAAAUAUAACAUGCUAUCUCCCCCAUAAUGAGAAAUUACAGGUCUAGGAAUCAAGGAAUAAAAUAGGAUGGAUCUUCCUCAUUAUUCCUGUCAUUCACCCACUUGUAAAAUUUGUGCUUUUCAUCUCUGCAAAUAUAUGUUUUGGUAGAUUUGAAGUCCAUGUUCCUAAGAGUUCAACACUUCUAUCAGAGUAUACUGUGAAGUUCACUGGACUGGAGGCUAUGCUUACCGCCUGGCCCCUUUGGACUCCUCAUAGCAACAGGCCAGGAAAUUAUAAGUGACCACAUCUUGAACAUUUAGACUCCAUCAGAGGUCAAAACGAGGCUUGGGACAGAGUUCCAUGACACCUAUUGUUGCAGGAGUCACAGAGGCUUCAGCACUCAGUUCCGCCCUUAUUAUCCAAAAUCUGAUUCAAGACCUCCAAGUAAAGGAAAGAAUGUGAAAAUAAGUAAAAAGAAAAAAAUGACCAGACAUCUGGAGCUCCUCCUGCCACUGCUGAAUCCAUGACAGUGAAAUUCUUGUUCACUACGGUAAUCACAGAGAACGACUAUGCCAUGCCACUUCCAGAUUGCCUCACUUUCGCUAAAAGCCAGCAGGUAUUUAUAUUCCUUUUUAAAAACUUGCUUUAAAUUUUAUAUGAGAUGAGUGCCUGGAGCCUUAUCCAACUCAAUCCUGUCUCUCUAUUUGUAGUCAAAUUUUAAAUAGCUUUGUCCUAGUAGUCUAUUAUUUUGAGACUCAAAAUAUGAAGGUUCUUGGGGCUGGCCCCGUGGCCGAGCGGUUACGUUCGUGCGCUCCGCUGCAGGCGGCCCAGUGUUUCGUUGGUUCGAAUCCUGGGCGCGGACAUGACACUGCUCAUCAAACCACGCUGAGGCAGCGUCCCACAUGCCACAACUAGAAGGACCCACAACAAAGAAUAUACAACUAUUUACCGGGGGGCUUUGGGGAG
rnacentral:lncRNA from 1 species